rnacentral:rRNA from 1 species
UACGAAGGGUGCAAGCGUUACUCGGAAUUACUGGGCGUAAAGCGUGCGUAGGUGGUUUGUUAAGUCUGUUGUGAAAGCCCCCGGCUCAACUGGGGAGGGUCACGCGAUACUGAUCGACUCGAAGGCAGGAGAGGGUAGUGGAAUUCCCGGUGUAGUGGUGAAAUGCGUAGAUAUCGGGAGGAACACCAGUGGCGAAGGCGACUACCUGGCCUGUUCUUGACGCUGAGGCGCGAAAGCUAGGGGAGCAAACGGGG